ensembl:lncRNA
CUUGGAAGCUUCAAACAGUGCUGGGAGAGAACUCAGGGAGAGCCCCAGGGUGCAGAUGGAGCUGGGAUCUGCUGGGAUCCUGGCUGGGAUCUGGGCUGGAUCCUGGUGGAUCCCUCAGCUGCUCCAGCACUGGCUGUGGCCCUGUGAGCUGGAUCUGGGUUCAAUCCUGGUGGAUCCCGGCUGGAUUUGGGUUGGAUUUGGGCUCAAUCUUGGCUGUGAUCCCAGCUGGAUCUGGGCUGGAUCCCAGCUGGAUCUGGGUUCAAUCCCGGCUGGAUCUGGGCUGGAUCCCAACAGGAUCUGGGUUCAAUCCCAGCUGGAUCUGGGUUCAAUCCCAGCUGGAUUUGGGCUGGAUCCCAGCUCUGAUCCCAUCAGAUCCCAUGGGAUCCCUCAGUUGCUGCAGCACUGCCCGCGGCCCUGUGAGCUGGAUCUGGGUUCAAUCCUGGUGGAUCAGGGUUCAAUCCCAGCUGGAUUUGGGCUGGAUCCCAGCUCAUGGAUCCCAUCAGAUCCCGUGGAUCCCUCAGUUGCUGCAGCACUGCCCGCGGCCCUGCGGGCUCUGGGUUCAAUCCUGGUGGAUCCUGGCUGGAUCUGGGUUCAAUCCCAGCUCAUGGAUCCCAUCAGAUCCCAUGGAUCCCUCAGUUGCUGCAGCACUGCCCGCGGCCCUGCGGGCUCUGGGUUCAAUCCUGGCUGGGUUUGGGCUGGAUCAGGGUUCAAUCCCAGCUCAUGGAUCCCAUCGGAUCCCNGCCAGAGGGGAUCUGGUGAAUCCAAAAGGGAUCUGGUGGAGCCAGGAGGGAUCUGGAGGAUCCUGGUGGAGUCUGGAAGGUCCAGGUGGGAUCUGAAGAAUCCAUGUGAAAUCUGGAAGGUCCAGACGGGAUCUGGAGGAUCCAGGUGGGAUCUGGUGGAUCCUGGUAGAGUCUGGAGGAGCCAGGAGGAUCCUGGUGGAGUCUGGAAGGUCCAGGUGGGAUCUGGAGGAUCCUGGUGGGAUCUGGAGGAUCCUGAUGGAGUCUGGAGGAUCCAGGAAGGAUCUGGAGGAUCCAGGUGGGAUCUGAAGAAUCCAUGUGAAAUCUGGAAGGUCCAGACGGGAUCUGGAGGAUCCAGGUGGGAUCUGGUGGAUCCUGGUGGAGUCUGGAGGAGCCAGGAGGAUCCUGAUGGAGUCUGGAAGGUCCAGGUGGGAUCUGGUGGAGCCAGGAGGGAUCAUGAGGAUCCUGAUGGAGUCUGGAGCAUCUGUGUGACCUCUGGGGGAUCCAGGAGGGAUCUGAAGAAUCCAUGUGAGAUCUGGAAGGUCCAGACGGGAUCUGGAGGAUCCAGGUGGGAUCUGGAGGAUCUGGGUGAAAUCUGGAAGGUCCAGGAGGAUCCUGGUGGAGUCUGGAAGGUCCAGGUGGGAUCUGGAUGAUCCAGGAGGGAUCUGGAGGAUCCUGAUGGAGUCUGGAGGAUCUGUGUGAGAUCUGGUGGAUCCAGGAGAGAGCUGGUGGAUCCUGAUAGAGUCUGGAAGGUCCAGGUGGGAUCUGGUGGAGCCAGGAGGGAUCUGGUGGAUCCUGGUGGAGUCUGGACGAUCUGUGUGAGAUCUGGAGGAUCCAGGAAGGAUCUGGAGGAUCCGGGUGGGAUCUGAAGAAUCUGUGUGAAAUCUGGAAGGUCCAGGUGGGAUCUGGUGGAGCCAGGUGGGAUCUGGUAGAUCCAAGUGGGGCCUGGUGGAGCCAGGAGGGAUCUUGGUGGAGCUGGNGGGGACAUCAAGGCCACCACCAGGAUCAUUGAGGGGACAUUGAGGCCACCACAGAGGGGACAUUGAGGGGACAUUGGGGCCACCAUGACUGGGAAUACUUGGGGACAUCGAGGCCACCACUGCGACCACUGAGGGGACAUUGAGGCCACCACAGAGGGGACAUCAAGGCCACCAUGGCUGGGAACACCUGGGGACAUGGUGGCCACCACUGAGAUCAUAGAAGGGACAUUGUGGCGACCACUGAGGGGACAUCAAGGCCACCAUUGGGACCACCUGGGGAUGUCACCUGGGGGACAUCAAGGCCACCACCAGGAUCACUGAGGGGACAUUGAGGAGACAUUUGGGCCACCAUGACUGGGAACACCUGGGGACAUCGAGGCCACCACUGGGACCACUGAGGGGACAUCGAGGCCACCACAGAGGGGACAUUGAGGGGACAUUGAGGCCACCACAGAGUGGACAUCGAGGUCACCAUGGCUGGGAACACCUGGGGACGUGGUGGCCACCACUGAGAUCAUAGAAGGGACAUUGUGGCCACCACUGAGGGGACAUCAAGGCCACCACCAGGAUCACUGAGGGGACAUUGGGGACACCAUGGUUGGGAUCACUUGGGGGACAUCACCUGGGGGACACUGGGGCCACCAUUGGGACCAAUGAGGGGCCACCAUGGCUG